rnacentral:misc_RNA from 1 species
AAGUCGUAACAAGGUCUCCGUUGGUGAACCAGCGGAGGGAUCAUUACAGAGUUAUCAAAACUCCCAAACCCAUGUGAACAUACCUCGCGUUGCCUCGGCAGGUGGCGCCCCGCCCUGUGAGGGCCUACCCUGUAGGAGCUCACCCGGUGGUCGCCCCUGCCGACGGCCCACGAAACUCUGUUUUUUUUAUAGCAUUAGACCUCUGAAAAGAUAACUAAAUAAGUUAAAACUUUCAACAACGGAUCUCUUGGUUCUG